rnacentral:lncRNA from 1 species
CGCAUGCUUGAUGAACUCACGGAGCCCUUGGCUAAGCCUCCAAGCUUUGGGAUAGAAAAUAAGGAGGUGAUUCUAUGGAGGAGCUGUGAGGUUGAUGAAGUCGUGAGUUUGAGGUCAAACUCCUUUCAAGAUGGAGAGGAGGAUACGAGUAUGACCUUGUAGAUGGACAUAUUUUGGAGCUUGUUGAACUCAACCAAGAAG